rnacentral:lncRNA from 1 species
GAUGGUGAGGCAUAAUUUUUAUUGGUUAUUGUUCUUUGUGUUACGUGAUGGUGUAUUUAUUUAUCUGGAAAAUCUGAUACCAAUAACAUAACACGACAAUGAUGGUGUGCUCUUUGUGUUAUUGUAUGGUGUACUCAUUUAUCUGGGAAAUCUGAUACUAAUAACAUAACACAACGACGAUGGUGUGUUUUUUGUGUUAUGGUGAGGCAGACUUUUUAUCAGUUUUGUUGCUCGGUAUCAUUCAAAACUUGUGUGUUUACGUUUGUUUCGUUAUAAUAAACAUUUUUCUCUUCGGUUUUGUUAUUAUUGUCUGGUUUUUUUUUGUUAUAAUAAUGAUGAUCAUGAAUCGUUAGUUUUGAAAGAACAUUCUAGUUUUUGAGUUUGUAUGUAUAUGUUUUUUACUACAUUGAUUUCAAGAAUUUUACGAGUAUAUAUAUGUGAUAUUUUCAAAGUUUAGUAUUAUGAGUAAAAAUAUAAAGAAUUUAACUUCCAAUAACAAUAGAAUUUAAUAGAAUUACAAAAUCAAUGAUAACUA